rnacentral:lncRNA from 1 species
AGCUGGUCUUGAAUUCCUAGGCUUGAGAGACACCUUCCUCAAACCCCAUCAUGGUCUCCCAAAGUGCUGGGAUUACAUCUGAAGACUCAGGACAACGAAACAAAACCCUAAUGCCCUGAAUUCCCAAGGAAAUGACCUAAGGUUCUCUUUCUGUCGUGAAGCUAGGAGACCUCUGAGAUGGGAGUCAGUGUGAGGUCUCCAGAGAUGUAAAUUUAUAAUUGAGGGCCACAAGGAAUCAGGGAGCUGGAGGAGACUGCGUUCCACCUGGCAUCUAGUUUUGCUGCGAAAGCAACCCAUGGAGAUAAUCAAACAACUUGGCAACAAGUCAUAUGGAAGAGGGAGGAAAAAAAGACUAACUUCCCAGAGCUGGAGGGAAAGCAGAAAGCCAUGCUUAAGCUCUCAUCAGUGGGAGCCAUUCCAUCCCAGGAUCCUUUCAGCAACCAAUUUGGAAGUCUAGGCUUUUCAGUAAAUAGUUUUAUCUUGUGUUUCGAAAAAGCCACACUUCAUCUUCUGAGCCUCAUAUUCUCUUACAUGAAGUUACUAAAUAAAUCUGUAUUUCUUUU